rnacentral:lncRNA from 1 species
AAACGGUGAAAAUGAUAACCGACGAGUUGGGAGCAAGUGAUAGUAGGGCCAUUCAGAUGGCGAGAUUCACACUCAAAUGCAAGAAGGCCAAGGAUUGGUUCAAGAGCUAUGUGGACCCGAGGGUGGAUAGUCUAUCCUGGGAGGAAUUUGCAAAUGAAUUUGCAGGAUGGGCUUUCCCUGAUAGCUCCAGGGAGCUGAAGAUGAUUGAGUUUGAAUAGCUAAGGC